CAGUCCAUGAUGUGCUUCAUAGAUCUUCCUAUUUCAUUCUGGGGAUAUGUUCUAGAAACUACUGUCUAUGUUUUAAAUAAAGUAUGAUCUAAAUCUGUCACUAGUACUUCAUAUGAAAUAUAAAAAGGCAAAAGAUCCAAUCUUAAAUAUCUUAAGAUUUGGGGUUAUCCCGCUUAUGUCAAAAGUAUUUUUAAACAUAAGUUAAAUGCUAGGA
rnacentral:lncRNA from 1 species